rnacentral:rRNA from 1 species
UGGGGAAUUUUGGACAAUGGGCGAAAGCCUGAUCCAGCAAUGCCGCGUGUGUGAAGAAGGCCUUCGGGUUGUAAAGCACUUUUGUCCGGAAAGAAAUCCUUGGCUCUAAUACAGUCGGGGGAUGACGGUACCGGAAGAAUAAGCACCGGCUAACUACGUGCCAGCAGCCGCGGUAAUACGUAGGGUGCAAGCGUUAAUCGGAAUUACUGGGCGUAAAGCGUGCGCAGGCGGUUUGCUAAGACCGAUGUGAAAUCCCCGGGCUCAACCUGGGAACUGCAUUGGUGACUGGCAGGCUAGAGUAUGGCAGAGGGGGGUAGAAUUCCACGUGUAGCAGUGAAAUGCGUAGAGAUGUGGAGGAAUACCGAUGGCGAAGGCAGCCCCCUGGGCCAAUACUGACGCUCAUGCACGAAAGCGUGGGGAGCAAAACAGGAUUAGAUACCCUGGUAGUCCACGCCCUAAACGAUGUCAACUAGUUGUUGGGGAUUCAUUUCCUUAGUAACGUAGCUAACGCGUGAAGUUGACCGCCUGGGGAGUACGGUCGCAAGAUUAAAACUCAAAGGAAUUGACGGGGU